UAAUUUAGCUUACCUGCUUACCUAGUUAUUAUAUGUUGUAGGCAUACCAAAAUGCCAUGUUAUCAAGAUGAAUUUUGUUGUUAUCUACAUUUGGAGUGCAUGGUCAUAGAAUAUGCCAGAGGCGAUAUUAGGAAACUGCUUGGCAAUAACGUUACAGACCAACAUUGACCUAUGGUAAAGAGAGAGUCCGGUGCUGAACGAAUCACAAAAAACCAGACUACAAGGAUCAUGACUGAUAGCUAAAGUAGAGUAGUGACCGAAGGCUUUAAUUCGAGAAGAAGAACAUAUUCUUUCCGAAAAUACAGCGAGAUUUGGUUUGUAAUAUGGAAGUCAGCAGGAACUGGUGUUAUAAACAAAACAAAGGUGGCACGUUAAAGCAAAUUCAAAUUUUAGCGCGCUUGCGUUUGCGCAGUACAGGGAGUCGGUGUGGAACACAUCUGCAAGUUCAGUCUAUCACAUAGAUAAUUUUAUCUAUGGUCUAUCACAACCUAAAAUGGCUAAAAUUUAAACGUGACUCCCUAUCAAGGAGUCUGCGCGAUUUUUUCGGCGCCAGUUUCAAAACAAUUUUAUCGCAGUUUAAAUUAUGGUUUACUAUGGACCAAAAUAGGUAACAUCCCGAAAAACUAUUAAGGUUAAAAAAACCAUAAAACCACGCAAAAUUCAACCGCUUGUCAAAUGACAUGAUUUUUCAUGGCUUUGCCGUUUCUUGAAGCAACCACAAAAUUAGAUUCACAGUAAGAAUAAGCGAAAAUUCUGGCACUCUUACUUACUCUAUAAGACCUUGUUUUGACUCACAAAAGAAUAGGCCUAAAGAUUUUUGAUGCGAAGACAAUAAAAAACUAAUAGUUAGCAAAAUGCCAUUGCUGUUGAGUUCAUAGGGUCAAUGAUGCCCUUUUCCAAAAUAUGCCCAAGACAUUGUUUAAUAUAAUGCCCAAGGUUACGUUACAAACCAAACCUUUCUUAGGUAGGUAUCGCUUUAGAAAUUGUUAUUAAUAAUAAAAAUAUUUAUUGUGUUAUUUAUUUUAGUUUAUUAUAGAAAUCUACAAAAAAAUUCAAUUAUAAAGAGUAAUUUUAUUGUGUAAAAUGAUUAUGAUUCACCACGACGGCACAAAGUAUAUACAAAAAAUACCCCAAAAAAAAGGUGAGUGCCAGUGAUUACAAGAGUAUUGCAAAAAAAUGAGUCAGGGAGAUUAUUUAAUUUUUCAAAUCCAUGUUUUUUUUGUGUAUCAAAAUCAUCACUUCUAUGGAGAGAAAACCCCCUGAAAAAGUACGUAGUUAUACAAAUGACAAUAUUAUACAUAUAUUGUUCAUAUUUGCAUGCUGGGUCCAGUUUUUAGACAGCAAGCAGGGCCCAGUGGCACCCGAGGACGCAAACUUUCAGAUGAUUUAACAAAUGCCAUGGAAGAGACUUAUGAGUACCUACAUGGAAUCUAAUAGCAACUACCAGUUUCGUGUGCACGAAUUAAUUGAUUGUGUAUCAGGCAAAUACACAGUAAGUGAAAGAAGUGUUAAGCGAAAAGUGCAAGAGAAAUGUGGGGAGAUUUUUAAAAUUUCCCCUCUGCUCAUUACGCCUGUAAGGGGGUAGGGCCCUUAAAUUUUGGUAAGAUUCAGCGGAUCCUCAUUUAUAGUGCCAAGAUAAAGUUAUAAAGUAUCAUUGAUGUACAUAUUUUGCUUCCAAAAUAUGCUAUUGUUCCGGUCCUACACGUGGAAGCUGAACCUUUUGUACUUAAUGUUCCUUAAUUGUAACACAGUCAAUAUCUUGUUCGUAUUCUCCUGCAAAGCAUUCGUCAUCUACCUAUACUGUUUGAAAGGUUUCUUCCAAGUGCUGUGCAAACAAUUCUGAAUUUGAAUCGCUUCUAAUCCUCAUUUCCGAGUGGAGGUAGGUACUUGUGCAGUUGAUCUUUUUAAUUCCUUUGUGCAUUUACAAAGCGAACAUUCAGUGUUUUUGAAUCAAUUCGAGCAUGGUAUUGCCAUUUGUGCCGUCUGGAAAGCUAUUCCAGGUUGCUGACAUGUUUUUGACAAAUAAAUCCACCUCGCGCUGGAUCCAUUUUAUUUUGCCCCGAAAAAAGCCAAAAAAUUUUUUGAUUCGUGGCCAUAGACAUCGAGGACUGAAUCUACUGGCGCUCCCUAGCUAUUGGUCUGUGCACGCACAGCGUGUGAUAAGUUUGUGACUGACACACACACAAACAAACAAGAAAGUAACUAUAAAAGUGACUAAUUUUGAACAUUGUAAAUUAGACAACUGUAUUCCAAACCAAAUGGGAGGGAGUAUAUACAAUUAAGGAAAUAGCAUACCACAUGACAAGGCAGGACAAUCAUAUAAUUUGGUACGAUUUCAAAAUGGAAAAUACCUUAGGAUCCUGUACAUUGUUGACAUAAUAAAUUUUAUUAAUUUUAAAAUGUUAUCAUAAAUAGAUAUUUAUUAUUCUCAGAGUGUGUUGAUGUUAACAUUUAUUUUCAA